ACGGGUGAGUAACGCGUGGGAACGUGCCCUUCGGUUCGGGAUAACUCAGGGAAACUUGAGCUAAUACCGGAUACGCCCUUUGGGGGAAAGAUUUAUUGCCGAAGGAUCGGCCCGCGUCCGAUUAGCUAGUUGGUGAGGUAAAGGCUCACCAGGGCGACGAUCGGUAGCUGGUCUGAGAGGAUGAUCAGCCACACUGGGACUGAGACACGGCCCAGACUCCUACGGGAGGCAGCAGUGGGGAAUAUUGGACAAUGGGCGCAAGCCUGAUCCAGCCAUGCCGCGUGAGUGAUGAAGGCCCUAGGGUUGUAAAGCUCUUUCGCCAGGGACGAUAAUGACGGUACCUGGAUAAGAAGCCCCGGCUAACUUCGUGCCAGCAGCCGCGGUAAUACGAAGGGGGCUAGCGUUGUUCGGAAUCACUGGGCGUAAAGCGCACGUAGGCGGAUCUUUAAGUCAGGGGUGAAAUCCCGAGGCUCAACCUCGGAACUGCCUUUGAUACUGGAGGUCUCGAGUCCGGGAGAGGUGAGUGGAACUGCGAGU
rnacentral:rRNA from 1 species